rnacentral:rRNA from 1 species
AGUGAACGCUGGCGGUAGGCCUAACACAUGCAAGUCGAACGGCAGCACAGUAAGAGCUUGCUCUUACGGGUGGCGAGUGGCGGACGGGUGAGGAAUACAUCGGAAUCUACUUUUUCGUGGGGGAUAACGUAGGGAAACUUACGCUAAACCGCAUACGACCUACGGGUGAAAGCAGGGGAUCUUCGGACCUUGCGCGAUUGAAUGAGCCGAUGUCGGAUUAGCUAGUUGGCGGGGUAAAGGCCCACCAAGGCGACGAUCCGUAGCUGGUCUGAGAGGAUGAUCAGCCACACUGGAACUGAGACACGGUCCAGACUCCUACGGGAGGCAGCAGUGGGGAAUAUUGGACAAAGGGCGCAAGCCUGAUCCAGCCAUACCGCGUGGGUGAAGAAGGCCUUCGGGUUGUAAAGCCCUUUUGUUGGGAAAGAAAAGCAGCAGGUUAAUACCCCGCUGUUCUGACGGUACCCAAAGAAUAAGCACCGGCUAACUUCGUG